GACGAACGCUGGCGGCGUGCUUAACACAUGCAAGUCGAACGGAAAGGCCCUUCUUGCAGGGUACUCGAGUGGCGAACGGGUGAGUAACACGUGGGUGAUCUGCCCUGCACUUCGGGAUAAGCUUGGGAAACUGGGUCUAAUACCGGAUAGGAACCAUCUUUAGUGUGGUGGUUGGAAAGUUUUUUCGGUGUAGGAUGAGCUCGCGGCCUAUCAGCUUGUUGGUGGGGUAAUGGCCUACCAAGGCGGCGACGGGUAGCCGGCCUGAGAGGGUGUACGGCCACAUUGGGACUGAGAUACGGCCCAGACUCCUAUGGGAGGCAGCAGUGGGGAAUAUUGGACAAUGGGCGCAAGCCUGAUGCAGCGACGCCGCGUGGGGGAUGAAGGCCUUCGGGUUGUAAACUCCUUUCGCUAGGGACGAAGCUUUGUUGUGACGGUACCUAGAGAAGAAGCACCGGCUAACUACGUG
rnacentral:rRNA from 1 species